rnacentral:tRNA from 1 species
AGUUAAUUAGCUUAAUUAAAGCAUAUACUUUGAAAGUAUAGUAUGUAGGUUUGAAUCUUAUAUUGACUU